rnacentral:rRNA from 1 species
GACGAACCACACGAACGUUAUUCGGAAUUACUGGGCUUAAAGGGUGCGUAGGCGGCGCGGUAAGUCGGGUGUGAAAUCCCUCGGCUCAACCGAGGAACUGCGCUCUAAACUACCGUGCUCGAGGGAGGUAGAGGUGAGCGGAACUUAGGGUGGAGCGGUGAAAUGCGUAGAUAUGCGGAGGAACACCGAUGGCGAAGGCAAUCCCCUGGACCUGUACUGACGCUCAUGCACGAAAGCGUGGGGAGCAAACAGG